UAGGGAAUAUUGGACAAUGGGGGCAACCCUGAUCCAGCCAUGCCGCGUGAGUGAAGAAGGCCCUCGGGUUGUAAAGCUCUUUUGUCCGGAAAGAAAAGCUUCGGGUUAAUACCCCGGGGUUCUGACGGUACCGGAAGAAUAAGCACCGGCUAACUUCGUGCCAGCAGCCGCGGUAAUACGAAGGGUGCAAGCGUUACUCGGAAUUACUGGGCGUAAAGCGUGCGUAGGUGGUUGUUUAAGUCUGAUGUGAAAGCCCUGGGCUCAACCUGGGAAUGGCAUUGGAAACUGGGCAGCGAGAGUGCGGUAGAGGGUAGUGGAAUUCCCGGUGUAGCAGUGAAAUGCGUAGAGAUCGGGAGGAACAUCUGUGGCGAAGGCGACUGCCUGGACCAGCACUGACACUGAGGCACGAAAGCGUGGGGAGCAAACA
rnacentral:rRNA from 1 species